UAAGGAAUAUUGGUCAAUGGACGCAAGUCUGAACCAGCCAUGCCGCGUGAAGGAAGACGGCCCUACGGGUUGUAAACUUCUUUUGUACGGGAAAAAAUCUUUGGUCGUGAACCAGAGUUGAUGGUACCGUAAGAAUAAGCAUCGGCUAACUCCGUGCCAGCAGCCGCGGUAAUACGGAGGAUGCAAGCGUUAUCCGGAUUCAUUGGGUUUAAAGGGUGCGCAGGCGGAAUGAUAAGUCAGCGGUGAAAUCCUACGGCUCAACUGUAGAACUGCCGUUGAUACUGUUGUUCUUGAGUACACUUGGAGUGGGCGGAAUGUGUCAUGUAGCGGUGAAAUGCUUAGAUAUGACACAGAACACCGAUCGCGAAGGCAGCUCACUAAAUUGUAACUGACGCUCAGGCACGAAAGCGUGGGGAUCAAACA
rnacentral:rRNA from 1 species